UGUCCAGGGUAGCCUAGUGGACAUGGCAUCUGCCCGGUAAGCGGAACAUUGUGGUUUCGAUUCCCACAGUAUUUUUACAG